rnacentral:rRNA from 1 species
AUUGAACGCUGGCGGCAUGGCUAAAACAUGCAAGUCGAGCGAGAAAGUGGAGCAAUCCACGAGUAAAGCGGCGAAAGGGUGAGUAAUACGUUCCUACGUGCCUCGAGGUCGGGGAUAGCCAGGGGAAACUUUGGGUAAUACCCGAUGUGGUCGAGAGAUCAAAGGCUUGCCGCCUUGAGAGCGGGGAAUGUCCUAUCAGCUAGUUGGUGAGGUAACGGCUCACCAAGGCUAGACGGGUAGCAGGUGUGAGAGCACGGCCUGCCACAUCGAAACUGAGACACUGUUCGGACUCCUACGGGAGGCUGCAGUAACGAAUCUUCCGCAAUGCGCGAAAGCGUGACGGAGCAAUGCCGCGUGAGUGAUGAAGGCCUU